rnacentral:lncRNA from 1 species
UUCCGCCUUUAAUUGUUAAUUGCAUGCUUAUUGAUGUUGCUUAAAUGAACAUGUUUUCACAAAAAUCAUCCUUCAGUAUUAUGUUGUGGACAAGUGCCACCAACAUCUAAGUGAAUUAACCUUAACAACUUUGUGAUUCUUUCUUCUUUCCAAAAGAAUAAAGAUUCGAACAUUUCGCCUUUAUACAAUUUUAAAAGGAAGGUAUUGGAUCCGGAUCUAACGAUCCAACAAUUUUAAAAGGAAGGUAUUGGAUCCGGAUCUAACGAUCCAUAGCAUCCAUCUUUCACCAACUCGUAACUUAUGUUUUAGAGGUAUCACAAUUUAGUUGGGAUUAGUCACUACCUUGCAACCUUUUGGGUUUUAAGCAUCAUUAUAUUCUAAACAGUUAACACUACCAUAUCAUCUCUACUAUAGAGACAAUCAAUUAGAUUACUAUAAUCCAAUCAUUGAUUAAUAAAGAACAAUGUUUUGUCAAACAAAACAUUCAUCCAUCUCUACUAUAGUGACGGAAUGAAAUUCCUUAAAAUUGGAAUGUAAAGGCAAUCUUUGGUUUUUCCAAUUUCUUUGGUAGUUCUUAUGAGGAAGUAAGUACUAUCUGCUUUCGCAGAGAUCUAUAUUUUAUUCACGUUCCGAAUGUGAAGUACCUUUUCUUCUCUCAUAUAUCUUCUACUUCUUAUUAGUCACACUUUUACAACGAUUGUAAAAACAUAGUUACUAAUACGGAAUUAAGCAUUCAAGUAGAAGAACCAACUGUUUUGAACUAUUCAAGAACAAUUUACAACACCUUCGAAAGGUGUGUUCUUGACACUUGCAAGACAUUUCUUGCAAAUACCCCUUCCAAUGUCCAUCCUUUCAUAAAGAAAGUUUGUUCCCUUGGAGUUAAUUUUAUCUUCUUCAUUUGACUUCUCAUUUGACUACAAUAGUCAUGGUCCCUAAACUCCCACUAUCUCUCUUGAAACCUUUUUCAAUUGUGUUAU